CCGGGCGCACGGGUGAGUAACGCGUAUGCAACUUGCCUAUCAGAGGGGGAUAACCCGGCGAAAGUCGGACUAAUACCGCAUGAAGCAGGGGCCCCGCAUGGGGAUAUUUGCUAAAGAUUCAUCGCUGAUAGAUAGGCAUGCGUUCCAUUAGGCAGUUGGCGGGGUAACGGCCCACCAAACCGACGAUGGAUAGGGGUUCUGAGAGGAAGGUCCCCCACAUUGGUACUGAGACACGGACCAA
rnacentral:rRNA from 1 species